UAUUAAUGACCACUGUCUUCACUAUUUCAAUCACCACUUAAGUAUCUGAAGCUGUAUAAAAUCACCAAAUAGUAAGCAGAAUGAAUAUGGAAAUACGCCAUAGUACUUAAAGGGUUAAUGGGCAGUCUAACCCUCCACCUCGUGACAUAAUUUCUCUUAUUCUUAGUUUUACAGCCUUGAAGUAUGCACAACAAACAGCACACCAUUAAUUCAUCCUUUUAUCUUUAUUUGUGGGUAAAGUGAGUGUGUGUACGCCGCUAAACAAUGACAAAAUAGUUAAAUGGCAGUUUGCUUUAGUUCAUCCCUCCGCUUUCCUUCUGCUAAUAUGGCGGAUGUUGUGUAGAAAAGCGACGCCUUGUGUGUGUGUCCUGUCGCCCUAUAUAGUUCCUACCCACUAGCCUACUGUCACGCUGGGAAGCUAGGCCUAUACGUGGGGACUCGGGAGGUGUACUUGUGGUGGUGGUGGCUGGUCCGGAAUGCGUACCGGCCAGUCGUUCCUGAGGCUGGCAGGGAGACAGGGAGGCAGGGAGGAACACCGGAGCAUUGUUGUGCCACUGUACGGUGUCCAGGCCGGGUGCCCUGCUGGGCUCUGACGUGGCUCCAUCCGGCCAGCUGCCCAGAGGGUUCCUGCAGUGGAGGGGUGAGGCCCAGCAGCAGCAUGAGUGAACAGCAGCAGCAGCAGCAGCAGCAGCAGUCUGCCUCAGGUGUGGGGAGGUCCAGGCAUGGUGCCAAGAAUGACCUGGAGGCAGGCAGCUCCACCCACAGAGGAGAGAGAAAGUUUGUGUGUCAGCUGUGUGAUAAAAGUUUUACAUCCAGAAAAGGACUUAGACUACACACCCUGACACACAGUGGUGUUAGAAAUUAUGAGUGUC
rnacentral:misc_RNA from 1 species